AUUGAAAUGGCAAAAGAAUAAAAAUCACAAAAUGCAGACCUGAGAGAGAAGGUCUGGGGAGAGAUGAGAGAUACCCGUUUGCAAAAGCCUUGGUACAGAACGUGUUCACAUAGCCACCAGGACUUUGCCCAGCGCCUGCAUUUCCCUACCCAGGAGGCCCACAGGCAGUUCUCCUGGGGAGCCUUCCACAGCAACCUUUCUGUGACGUCACACGCCAGUGCUGUCUUAGCUACACGAGCGGAAUGCACAGUCCCCGACCGUGUUAGUUCUGGAGUGGCUUAUGGGAUGUGGACCCCUCCUUGUCCGCCCCUCCUUAACCAUACCAGUAAGGACAAAUCGGGACAAGUCAGGAGCCUCAGAAAAUCUCAAUAGGAGAGAAACUCCAGUUUUCAAUUCCUGGAUGCCUAUCAGAGAUUUCAGCUCUUGCCUCACAUAGUUACAAGGAGGAAUGCUUUGUGGGGACACCAAUCUGAGCUAAGGCCUCUUGGAAGCACAUGGCCCGAUGGAGGAGGGACUGCGAGCUGCGGCUGGGAAUUGCUGACAUGAAUUACUGCUGCGUAUUCCAAAAGUCCGCUGAACCAAGGGGGAGCCAGGCGCUGGAGAGAGGGUCUGUCGUCUUCCUCACAACGUUUCUAGAUCUACAGAUGGCGAUGAGGAAGUGGUGCGCUUAUUUUUCAUAUUUUCUGAUAAGGUGCCAACAGAACUGACUUGCCAUUUUAAUGUAUGUCAUCUUUCCUGCAGUCACUGAGUGGCCUCGGACGGCUGUGGUUGAUCACUGGGGGCGAGCUGGACCCUCGCCCUUGAACAAAGUGCAGGGCCAGCGUCCUGGAGCCCGCCUUCCUUACAUUAACCACCCUUGGGAGGGCUGACCCCAGGGCAGUGGAGGGUUCUGCAGCACCCUUCUGAGGUGGGGAGGCACUGGCACCCAGCCAGCUUCCAAGGUGGACCCCUGCUGGAGGGAUGGAGAACAGGAAAGAAGAGGCUUGGAACAGACAGAAUUCUCACCCCGAGGCACACAGGCGAACCUGGCUUGCAUCCGUAGAACUCCCUGCCAAUCAGAGCUUGACUCCCCUCUCUUCUCCACCAAUCAAAGCUUGCACCACGGCAUCCUCCCCAACUCCCCAGCCAAUCAGAGCCUGACUCCCCGCUCCUCCCCACCAGUUAAGGCCUUGCACACUGCAAGCUCCCCUACCAAUCAGAGCCAGGCUCCCCUCUCCUCUCCACCAGUCAGGGCUUGUGCUACCUCAAACUCAAUUCCUCUGCCAAUCGGAGCCCAGCUACCCACAGCUGCAGAUAAAGAAAGAAUGGCCUUGUCAUCGAAGCCUGCAUGCAUUCACUGCGUCCUCCAGCUUGGUGAUUAAUGGAGCGCCCUCCACACAGCUGACCACUUCAUUGGUCAAUAAGGGUCCGAAACAUCACAGGAAUAAACUGAAAACAUGCGGCUUUAACUCAGAUGUUCGUGGGACUCCUGACAUUGCAGGUAAAGAAAAUUGUUCCUAGUCUCAUUCAGUGAGUGGAAUUUAUUUCCCUUUGAAAUGCAAAUUUCUUAUUUAAAAAAGUCAGUCUGGUGUAGUUCUCCAUUCAAAGGCCCCAAGUCAUUGCCUAAUAAUAUUCUUGUGCAAAUGGAGUUUUAUUUUGGGAGAGCUUGAUCAGGACAAGGGGAGAACCAUGUAUAGGUUACAAACAUAAAGAAAAAAAAUUAAGGAAAUCAGUCUUACAGCUGCUUGGACCUCCCGGACCUCUGUCCAGGCUGCCAUCUGCACACGUGAAGAAUUAAGGGAUUUAGUGGAUGGUCAUCAAAAGCCAAUAGUGAUAUAUGACUCCUUAUGCUAAUGACACAAUUCAGGCUGCAUUAAUAAAAAUU
ensembl:lncRNA